AGAUUAAGUUAUUAAGGGCGCACGGUGGAUGCCUUGGCACUAGAAGCCGAUGAAGGACGUUACUAACGACGAUAUGCUUUGGGUAGCUGUAAGUAAGCGUUGAUCCAGAGAUUUCCGAAUGGGGGAACCCAGCAUGAGUUAUGUCAUGUUAUCGACAUGUGAAUUCAUAGCAUGUCAGAAGGCAGACCCGGAGAACUGAAACAUCUUAGUACCCGGAGGAAGAGAAAGAAAAAUCGAUUCCCUGAGUAGCGGCGAGCGAAACGGGAAGAGCCCAAACCAACAAGCUUGCUUGUUGGGGUUGUAGGACACUCUAUACGGAGUUACAAAAGAACAUGUUAGACGAAUCAUCUGGAAAGAUGAAUCAAAGAAGGUAAUAAUCCUGUAGUCGAAAACAUAUUCUCUCUGAGUGGAUCCUGAGUACGACGGAGCACGUGAAAUUCCGUCGGAAUCUGGGAGGACCAUCUCCUAAGGCUAAAUACUCUCUAGUGACCGAUAGUGAACCAGUACCGUGAGGGAAAGGUGAAAAGUACCCCGGAAGGGGAGUGAAAGAGAACUUGAAACCGUGUGCUUACAAGUAGUCAGAGCCCGUUAAUGGGUGAUGGCGUGCCUUUUGUAGAAUGAACCGGCGAGUUACGAUCUGAUGCAAGGUUAAGCAGCAAAUGUGGAGCCGCAGCGAAAGCGAGUCUGAAUAGGGCGUUGAGUAUUUGGUCGUAGACCCGAAACCAGGUGAUCUACCCUUGGUCAGGUUGAAGUUCAGGUAACACUGAAUGGAGGACCGAACCGACUUACGUUGAAAAGUGAGCGGAUGAACUGAGGGUAGCGGAGAAAUUCCAAUCGAACUUGGAGAUAGCUGGUUCUCUCCGAAAUAGCUUUAGGGCUAGCCUCAAGUGAUGAUUAUUGGAGGUAGAGCACUGUUUGGACGAGGGGCCCCUCUCGGGUUACCGAAUUCAGACAAACUCCGAAUGCCAAUUAAUUUAACUUGGGAGUCAGAACAUGGGUGAUAAGGUCCGUGUUCGAAAGGGAAACAGCCCAGACCACCAGCUAAGGUCCCAAAAUAUAUGUUAAGUGGAAAAGGAUGUGGCGUUGCCCAGACAACUAGGAUGUUGGCUUAGAAGCAGCCAUCAUUUAAAGAGUGCGUAAUAGCUCACUAGUCGAGUGACACUGCGCCGAAAAUGUACCGGGGCUAAACAUAUUACCGAAGCUGUGGAUUGUCCUUUGGACAAUGGUAGGAGAGCGUUCUAAGGGCGUCGAAGCAUGAUCGCAAGGACAUGUGGAGCGCUUAGAAGUGAGAAUGCCGGUGUGAGUAGCGAAAGACGGGUGAGAAUCCCGUCCACCGAUUGACUAAGGUUUCCAGAGGAAGGCUCGUCCGCUCUGGGUUAGUCGGGUCCUAAGCUGAGGCCGACAGGCGUAGGCGAUGGAUAACAGGUUGAUAUUCCUGUACCACCUAGUAUCGUUUUAAUCGAUGGGGGACGCAGUAGGAUAGGCGAAGCGUGCUGUUGGAGUGCACGUCCAAGCAGUAAGGCUGAGUGUUAGGCAAAUCCGGCACUCAUAAGGCUGAGCUGUGAUGGGGAGAGGAAAUUGUUUCCUCGAGUCGUUGAUUUCACACUGCCGAGAAAAGCCUCUAGAUAGAUAACAGGUGCCCGUACCGCAAACCGACACAGGUAGUCAAGAUGAGAAUUCUAAGGUGAGCGAGCGAACUCUCGUUAAGGAACUCGGCAAAAUGACCCCGUAACUUCGGGAGAAGGGGUGCUCUUUAGGGUUCACGCCCAGAAGAGCCGCAGUGAAUAGGCCCAAGCGACUGUUUAUCAAAAACACAGGUCUCUGCUAAACCGUAAGGUGAUGUAUAGGGGCUGACGCCUGCCCGGUGCUGGAAGGUUAAGAGGAGUGGUUAGCUUCUGCGAAGCUACGAAUCGAAGCCCCAGUAAACGGCGGCCGUAACUAUAACGGUCCUAAGGUAGCGAAAUUCCUUGUCGGGUAAGUUCCGACCCGCACGAAAGGCGUAACGAUUUGGGCACUGUCUCAACGAGAGACUCGGUGAAAUCAUAGUACCUGUGAAGAUGCAGGUUACCCGCGACAGGACGGAAAGACCCCGUGGAGCUUUACUGUAGCCUGAUAUUGAAAUUCGGCACAGCUUGUACAGGAUAGGUAGGAGCCUUUGAAACGUGAGCGCUAGCUUACGUGGAGGCGUUGGUGGGAUACUACCCUAGCUGUGUUGGCUUUCUAACCCGCACCACUUAUCGUGGUGGGAGACAGUGUCAGGCGGGCAGUUUGAUGGGGCGGUCGCCUCCUAAAAGGUAACGGAGGCGCUCAAAGGUUCCCCUCAGAAUGGUUGGAAAUCAUUCAUAGAGUGUAAAGGCAUAAGGGAGCUUGACUGCGAGACCUACAAGUCGAGCAGGGUCGAAAGACGGACUUAGUGAUCCGGUGGUUCCGCAUGGAAGGGCCAUCGCUCAACGGAUAAAAGCUACCCCGGGGAUAACAGGCUUAUCUCCCCAAGAGUUCACAUCGACGGGGAGGUUUGGCACCUCGAUGUCGGCUCAUCGCAUCCUGGGGCUGUAGUCGGUCCCAAGGGUUGGGCUGUUCGCCCAUUAAAGCGGUACGCGAGCUGGGUUCAGAACGUCGUGAGACAGUUCGGUCCCUAUCCGUCGUGGGCGUAGGAAAUUUGAGAGGAGCUGUCCUUAGUACGAGAGGACCGGGAUGGACAUACCUCUGGUGUACCAGUUGUCGUGCCAACGGCAUAGCUGGGUAGCUAUGUAUGGACGGGAUAAGUGCUGAAAGCAUCUAAGCAUGAAGCCCCCCUCAAGAUGAGAUUUCCCAACUUCGGUUAUAAGAUCCCUCGAAGAUGACGAGGUUAAUAGGUUCGAGGUGGAAGCGUGGUGACACGUGGAGCUGACGAAUACUAAUCGAUCGAAGACUUAAUCAAUUUUUAAA
rnacentral:rRNA from 1 species